rnacentral:rRNA from 1 species
AGUGGGGGAUAACUAGCCGAAAGGUUAGCUAAUACCGCAUACGAUCUACGGAUGAAAGUGGGGGACCUUCGGGCCUCAUGCUUUUGGAGCGGCCGAUAUCUGAUUAGCUAGUUGGUAGGGUAAAGGCCUACCAAGGCGACGAUCAGUAGCUGGUCUGAGAGGACGACCAGCCACACUGGGACUGAGACACGGCCCAGACUCCUACGGGAGGCAGCAGUGGGGAAUUUUGGACAAUGGGCGCAAGCCUGAUCCAGCAAUGCCGCGUGAGUGAAGAAGGCCUUCGGGUUGUAAAGCUCUUUUGUCAGGGAAGAAACGGCUGCGGCUAAUAUCCGCGGCUAAUGACGGUACCUAAGAAUAAGCACCGGCUAA